GAUGAACGCUGGCGGCGUGCCUAAUACAUGCAAGUCGAGCGGGAGAAUCAUCCUUCGGGAUGAGGAUCCAGCGGCGAACGGGUGAGUAACACGUGGGCAACCUGCCCGCAAGACCGGGAUAACUCCGGGAAACCGGGGCUAAUACCGGAUAGUCCUUUUCCCCGCAUGGGGAAAAGGGGAAAGGCGGCUUCGGCUGUCACUUGCGGAUGGGCCCGCGGCGCAUUAGCUGGUUGGUGAGGUAACGGCUCACCAAGGCGACGAUGCGUAGCCGACCUGAGAGGGUGAUCGGCCACACUGGGACUGAGACACGGCCCAGACUCCUACGGGAGGCAGCAGUAGGGAAUUUUCCGCAAUGGGCGAAAGCCUGACGGAGCAACGCCGCGUGAGUGAGGACGGCCUUCGGGUUGUAAAACUCUGUUCUUGAGGAAGAAUUCCUUCCAGGCGAACAGCCUGGAAGGUUGACGGUACUCAAGGAGAAAGCCCCGGCUAACUACGUGCCAGCAGCCGCGGUAAUACGUAGGGGGCGAGCGUUAUCCGGAAUUAUUGGGCGUAAAGCGCGCGCAGGCGGCUGAUUAAGUCAGGUGUGAAAGGCUGCGGCUCAACCGCAGAGCGGCACCUGAAACUGGUCAGCUUGAGUGCAGGAGAGGGGAGCGGAAUUCCCGGUGUAGCGGUGGAAUGCGUAGAGAUCGGGAGGAACACCAGUGGCGAAGGCGGCUCUCUGGCCCUGUAACUGACGCUGAGGCGCGAAAGCGUGGGGAGCAACA
rnacentral:rRNA from 1 species